CUGGAAAGGCGCGCGAUACAGGGUGACAGCCCCGUACACAAAAAUGCACAUGCUGUGAGCUCGAUGAGUAGGGCGGGACACGUGGUAUCCUGUCUGAAUAUGGGGGGACCAUCCUCCAAGGCUAAAUACUCCUGACUGACCGAUAGUGAACCAGUACCGUGAGGGAAAGGCGAAAAGAACCCCGGCGAGGGGAGUGAAAAAGAACCUGAAACCGUGUACGUACAAGCAGUGGGAGCACGCUUAGGCGUGUGACUGCGUACCUUUUGUAUAAUGGGUCAGCGACUUAUAUUCUGUAGCAAGGUUAACCGAAUAGGGGAGCCGAAGGGAAACCGAGUCUUAACUGGGCGUUAAGUUGCAGGGUAUAGACCCGAAACCCGGUGAUCUAGCCAUGGGCAGGUUGAAGGUUGGGUAACACUAACUGGAGGACCGAACCGACUAAUGUUGAAAAAUUAGCGGAUGACUUGUGGCUGGGGGUGAAAGGCCAAUCAAACCGGGAGAUAGCUGGUUCUCCCCGAAAGCUAUUUAGGUAGCGCCUCGUGAACUCAUCUCCGGGGGUAGAGCACUGUUUCGGCAAGGGGGUCAUCCCGACUUACCAACCCGAUGCAAACUGCGAAUACCGGAGAAUGUUAUCACGGGAGACACACGGCGGGUGCUAACGUCCGUCGUGAAGAGGGAAACAACCCAGACCGCCAGCUAAGGUCCCAAAGUCAUGGUUAAGUGGGAAACGAUGUGGGAAGGCCCAGACAGCCAGGAUGUUGGCUUAGAAGCAGCCAUCAUUUAAAGAAAGCGUAAUAGCUCACUGGUCGAGUCGGCCUGCGCGGAAGAUGUAACGGGGCUAAACCAUGCACCGAAGCUGCGGCAGCGACGCUUAUGCGUUGUUGGGUAGGGGAGCGUUCUGUAAGCCUGUGAAGGUGUGCUGUGAGGCAUGCUGGAGGUAUCAGAAGUGCGAAUGCUGACAUAAGUAACGAUAAAGCGGGUGAAAAGCCCGCUCGCCGGAAGACCAAGGGUUCCUGUCCAACGUUAAUCGGGGCAGGGUGAGUCGACCCCUAAGGCGAGGCCGAAAGGCGUAGUCGAUGGGAAACAGGUUAAUAUUCCUGUACUUGGUGUUACUGCGAAGGGGGGACGGAGAAGGCUAUGUUGGCCGGGCGACGGUUGUCCCGGUUUAAGCGUGUAGGCUGGUUUUCCAGGCAAAUCCGGAAAAUCAAGGCUGAGGCGUGAUGACGAGGCACUACGGUGCUGAAGCAACAAAUGCCCUGCUUCCAGGAAAAGCCUCUAAGCAUCAGGUAACAUCAAAUCGUACCCCAAACCGACACAGGUGGUCAGGUAGAGAAUACCAAGGCGCUUGAGAGAACUCGGGUGAAGGAACUAGGCAAAAUGGUGCCGUAACUUCGGGAGAAGGCACGCUGAUAUGUAGGUGAAGUCCCUCGCGGAUGGAGCUGAAAUCAGUCGAAGAUACCAGCUGGCUGCAACUGUUUAUUAAAAACACAGCACUGUGCAAACACGAAAGUGGACGUAUACGGUGUGACGCCUGCCCGGUGCCGGAAGGUUAAUUGAUGGGGUCAGCGCAAGCGAAGCUCUUGAUCGAAGCCCCGGUAAACGGCGGCCGUAACUAUAACGGUCCUAAGGUAGCGAAAUUCCUUGUCGGGUAAGUUCCGACCUGCACGAAUGGCGUAAUGAUGGCCAGGCUGUCUCCACCCGAGACUCAGUGAAAUUGAACUCGCUGUGAAGAUGCAGUGUACCCGCGGCAAGACGGAAAGACCCCGUGAACCUUUACUAUAGCUUGACACUGAACAUUGAGCCUUGAUGUGUAGGAUAGGUGGGAGGCUUAGAAGUGUGGACGCCAGUCUGCAUGGAGCCGACCUUGAAAUACCACCCUUUAAUGUUUGAUGUUCUAACGUUGACCCGUAAUCCGGGUUGCGGACAGUGUCUGGUGGGUAGUUUGACUGGGGCGGUCUCCUCCUAAAGAGUAACGGAGGAGCACGAAGGUUGGCUAAUCCUGGUCGGACAUCAGGAGGUUAGUGCAAUGGCAUAAGCCAGCUUGACUGCGAGCGUGACGGCGCGAGCAGGUGCGAAAGCAGGUCAUAGUGAUCCGGUGGUUCUGAAUGGAAGGGCCAUCGCUCAACGGAUAAAAGGUACUCCGGGGAUAACAGGCUGAUACCGCCCAAGAGUUCAUAUCGACGGCGGUGUUUGGCACCUCGAUGUCGGCUCAUCACAUCCUGGGGCUGAAGUAGGUCCCAAGGGUAUGGCUGUUCGCCAUUUAAAGUGGUACGCGAGCUGGGUUUAGAACGUCGUGAGACAGUUCGGUCCCUAUCUGCCGUGGGCGCUGGAGAACUGAGGGGGGCUGCUCCUAGUACGAGAGGACCGGAGUGGACGCAUCACUGGUGUUCGGGUUGUCAUGCCAAUGGCACUGCCCGGUAGCUAAAUGCGGAAGAGAUAAGUGCUGAAAGCAUCUAAGCACGAAACUUGCCCCGAGAUGAGUUCUC
rnacentral:rRNA from 1 species